rnacentral:rRNA from 1 species
AGUCGAGCGCACCUUCGGGUGAGCGGCGGACGGGUUAGUAACGCGUGGGAACAUACCCUUUGGUACGGAAUAGCCUCUGGAAACGGAGAGUAAUACCGUAUGAGCCCUUCGGGGGAAAGAUUUAUCGCCAAAGGAUUGGCCCGCGUUAGAUUAGGUAGUUGGUGGGGUAAUGGCCUACCAAGCCUACGAUCUAUAGCUGGUUUUAGAGGAUGAUCAGCAACACUGGGACUGAGACACGGCCCAGACUCCUACGGGAGGCAGCAGUGGGGAAUCUUGGACAAUGGGGGCAACCCUGAUCCAGCCAUGCCGCGUGAGUGAUGAAGGCCUUAGGGUCGUAAAGCUCUUUCGCCUGUGAAGAUAAUGACGGUAGCAGGUAAAGAAACCCCGGCUAACUCCGUGCCAGCAGCCGCGGUAAUACGGAGGGGGUUAGCGUUGUUCGGAAUUACUGGGCGUAAAGCGCACGUAGGCGGACUGGAAAGUUGGGGGUGAAAUCCCAGGGCUCAACCCUGGAACUGCCUCCAAAACUAUCAGUCUAGAGUUCGAGAGAGGUGAGUGGAAUUCCGAGUGUAGAGGUGAAAUUCGUAGAUAUUCGGAGGAACACCAGUGGCGAAGGCGGCUCACUGGCUCGAUACUGACGCUGAGGUGCGAAAGUGUGGGGAGCAAACAGGAUUAGAUACCCUGGUAGUCCACACCGUAACGAUGAAUGCCAGUCGUCGGGUAGCAUGCUAUUCGGUGACACACCUAACGGAUUAAGCAUUCCGCCUGGGGAGUACGGUCGCAAGAUUAAAACUCAAAGGAAUUGAC